AUUGAACGCUGGCGGCAGGCCUAACACAUGCAAGUCGAACGGUAACAGGAAGAAGCUUGCUUCUUUGCUGACGAGUGGCGGACGGGUGAGUAAUGUCUGGGAAACUGCCUGAUGGAGGGGGAUAACUACUGGAAACGGUAGCUAAUACCGCAUAACGUCGCAAGACCAAAGAGGGGGACCUUCGGGCCUCUUGCCAUCGGAGGUGCCCAGAUGGGAUUAGCUAGUAGGUGGGGUAACGGCUCACCUAGGCGACGAUCCCUAGCUGGUCUGAGAGGAUGACCAGCCACACUGGAACUGGGACACGGUCCAGACUCCUACGGGAGGCAGCAGUGGGGAAUAUUGCACAAUGGGCGCAAGCCUGAUGCAGCCAUGCCGCGUGUAUGAAGAAGGCCUUCGGGUUGUAAAGUACUUUCAGCGGGGAGGAAGGGAGUAAAGUUAAUACCUUUACUCAUUGACGUUACCCGCAGAAGAAGCACCGGCUAACUCCGUG
rnacentral:rRNA from 1 species